GGCAUGGUAGCUCAAUGGAAGAGCAUCAGUCUUCUGAACUGAAGUGUGCAGGUUCGAGCCCUGUUCAUGCUA